GAGAGAGAGAGAGAGAGAGAGAGAGGAGAGAGAGAGAGAGAGAAGGAGAGAGAGAGAGAAGAGAGAGAGAGAGAGAAGAGAGAGAGAGAGAGAAGAGAGAGAGAGAAGAAGAGAGAGAGAGGAGAGAGAGAGAGAGAGAGAGAGAGAGAGAGAAGAAGAGAGAGAAGAGAGAGAGAGAAGAAGAGAGAGAGAGAGAGAGAAGAAGAGAGAGAGAAGAGAGAGAGAGAGAGAGAGAGAGAGAGAGAGAGAGAGAGAGAGAGAGAGAGAGAGGAAGAAGAGAGAGAAGAAGAGAGAGAAGGAGAGAGAGAAAGAGAGAGAGAGAGAGAGAAGGAGAGAGAGAAAGAGAAGAAGAAGAGAGAGAAGAAGAAGAGAGAGAAGGAGAGAGAGGGACCAUUAUUUACUCUGUAACUCCAUAACUAUUCUAAUGAUGGAAGGUUGUACCUGGUGCAUAGUACCUCUGACUUUAUUCUGUCUGCUUCUCUUCAUCUCUGUGUGUCUCAAUCUCACCCUCUGCAUUCUGAGACACAGGGACACCAGACACAAAGCAGACAAUGAGGAGUUUCUCAACCAACAGCAUUAUCCAAGAGAGAGUAGAUUGGAGGAGGAAGAGGAGGAAGAGGAGAAUCAGCAGCAGGAGAAUCCCAUCUAUGGAAACAUCACUAUAGCCUGCGCCCCAGCCCCAACAACAACCUGACCUGAACUAUGCUUCUCUUGACCUGAACGUGGGACAGAUACCCAAGAAGAGGAAGCGUCGCUACCAGCAGGCCCAGGCCCAGGCCCAGGCCCUGCCCGAGUCCCAGAUGGGUGGGGGUUUCCUGGAAAUAGAUGCGGAAAUGGAGGCCUCCCUCCCCUCACGGAGUAGCAGCCCUCUGGCUUCUAGAAACAGCAUCUAUCUCAACAGUCUACAGAUGGCACUACAGACAGAGGAGAGGGAAUAAGAGAGAGUCAAGGGGAGGGAGAUGGAGGAGGAUAGAGAUUGGGAUGGAGACAGGAAGUGAGGAGAGGGGGAGAAAGAAACAGUAGGUUGUGAUGGAGGGAUGGAGACUGGAAGUGAGGAGAGGGGCAGAAAGAUACAGUAGAUUGUGAUGGAGGGAUGGAGACAGGAAGUGGGAGAGGGGCAGAAAGAUACAGUAGGUUGUGAUGGAGGGAUGGAGACAGGAAGUGGGAGAGGGGCAGAAAGAUACAGUAGGUUGUGAUGGAGGGAUGGAGACAGGAAGUGGGAGAGGGGCAGAAAGAUACAGUAGGUUGUGAUGGAGGGAUUGAGACAGGAAGUAACAUGUGACUGGGGUUAGAGGUUAGGGAGGAAGACCAACGGUCCUAAAUGUGAACUCAAGAACUCAAUUAGGCAGAGAGAGCGAGAAAGAGAGGGAGGGAGAGAGACAAAGAGAAUGAGAGAGAGAGAGAGAACUUGUGUUUAUUUUUUUAUUUUUUGUAUUUAACCUUUAUUUAACUAGGCAAGUACAGGUAGACAAACAUAUUAACCUACUUUAACCUCUAGCCAAUAUGUUACAAUCAGACAUUAUAGAGAAAGGGGCUCCCACUGCAUAAACUGCAGAUAUGUAUAUAUUAUUAUUAUUAUUAUUAUAUAUUUUUAUUAUUAGUAGUGUUCGUAUAUACAGUGUACAGUGCAUUCGAAGAGUAUUCAGACCCCUUGACUUUUUCCACAUUUGGUGACGUUACAGCCUUAUUCUAAAAUUAAUUUUUAAAAAACAAUUCCCCUCAUCAAUCUACAAACAAAAGCUCAUAAUCACAAAGCAUAAACAGUUUUUUAGGAUUUUUUUUUUAUACAAAUGUAUUAAAAAUAAAAAUCUGAAUAUCACAUUUACAUAAGUAUUCAGACCCUAUAAUCAGUACUUUGUUGAAGCACCUUUAGCAGCGAUUACAGCCUUGAGUCUUCUUGGUUAUGACGCUACAAGCUUGGCACACCUGUAUUUGGGGAGUUUCUCCCAUUCUUUUCUGCAGAUCCUCUCAAGCUCUGUCAGGUUGGAUGGGAGGGCGUCGCUGCACAGCUAUUUUCAGAGCUGUUAGAUCGGGUUCAAGCCCGGGCUCUGGCUGGGUCACUCAACUACAUUCAGAGACUUGUCCCGAAGCCACUCCUGCGUUGUCUUGGCUGUGUGCUUAGGGUCGUUGUUCUGUUGGAAGGUGAACCUUCGGCCCCCAGUCUGAGUUCCUGAGCGCUCUGGAGCAGGUUUUCAUCAAGGAUCUCUCUGUACUUUGCUCAGUUCAUCUUUCCCUCGUUCCUGACUAUUCUCCCAGUCCCUGCCGCUGAAAAACAUCCCCACAACAUGAUGCUGCCAUCACCACGCUUCACCGUAGGGAUUGUGCCAGGGAUGCUUCCAAAAAAUGUUUUUAAUCAAUUUUAGAAUAAGGCUGUAAUGUAACAAAAUGUAGAAAAUGGGAAGGGGUCUGAAUACUUUCUGAAGGCACUGUAUAUAUACAUUCUCAAAAGUUUUUCUUUAUUUUGACUAUUUUCUACGUUGUAGAAUAAUAGUGAAGACAUCAAAACUAUGAAAUAACACAUAUGGACUCAUGUAGUAACCAAAAAAGUGUUAAACAAAUCAAAAUAUAUUUUAUAUUUGAGAUUCUUCAAAUAGCUACUCUUUGCCUUGAUGACAGCUUUGCACACUAUUGGCAUUCUCUCAACCAGCUUCACCUGGAAUGCUUUUCCAAUGUUCUUGAAGGAAUUCCCACAUGCUGAGCACUUGUUGGCUGCUUUUCCUUCAAUCUGCGGUCCAACUCAUCCCAAACCAUCUCAAUUGGGUUGAGGUCGGGUGAUUGUGGAGGCCAGGUCAUCUGAUGCAGCACUCCAUCACUCUCCUUCUUGGUCAAAUAGCCCUUUCACAGCCUGGAUGUGUUUUGGGUCAUUGUCCUGUUGAAAAACAAAUGAUAGUCCCACUAAGUGCAAACCAGAUAGGAUGGUGUAUUGCUGCAGGCUAGUUGAGAACAAGUUCUUAUUUACAACUGCGACCUGGCCAAGACAAAGCAAAGCAGUUCGACAACAUACAACAACACAGAGUUACACAUGGAGUAAAACAAACCUACAGUCAAUAAUACAGUAGAACAAAAGAAAACAAAAAGUCUAUAUACAGUGAGUGCAAAUGAGGUAAGUUAAGGCAAUAAAUAGGCCAUGGUGGCGAAGUAAUUACAAUAUAGCAAGUAAAACACUGGAAUGGUAGAUGUGCAGAAGAUGAAUGUGCAAGUAGAGAUACUGGGGUGCAAAAGAGCAAGAUAAAUAAAUAAAUACAGUAUGGGGAUGAGGUAGGUAGAUGGGCUGUUUAUAGAUGGGCUAUGUACAGGUGCAGUGAUCGGUGAGCUGCUCUGACAGCUGGUGCUUAAAGCUAGGACACCAAUCAGGCCCUCGAGGGCUGGAGUUGCCCACCCCUGCUCUACGGCAAAGGUAACUCUGGAUCUUCCUUUCCUGUGGCGGUCCUCAUGAGAGCCAGUUUCAUCAUAGUUUUUGCGACUGCACUUCAAGAAACUUUCAAAGUUCUUGAAAUGUUCCGUUAUUGACUGACCUUCAUGUCUUAAAGUAAUGAUGGACUGUUGUUUCUCUUUGCUUAUUUGAGCUGUUCUUGCCAUAAUAGGGACUUGGUCUUUUACCAAAUAAGCAUAUAUUUAGUAUACCACCCCUACCUUGUCACAACACAAAUGAUUGAUCAAACGCAUUAAGAAGGAAAUCAAUUCCACAAACUAACUUUUUACAAGGCACAGCUGUUAAUUGAAAUAUAUUCCAGGUGACUACCUCAUGAAGCUGGUUGAGAGAAUGCCAAUAGUGUUCAAAAGCUGUCAUCAAGGCAAAGGGUGGCUACUUUGAAGAAUCUCAAAUACAAAUAUAUUUGUUUAACACUUUUUUAGUUACUACUUGAUUCCAUAUGUGUUAUUUCAUAGUUAUGAUGUCUUCACUAUUAUUCUACAAAAACCCUUGAAUGAGUAGGUGUGUCCAAACAUUUGACUGGUACUGUAUAUUAUUAUAGUUGUUAGUAUUAU
rnacentral:lncRNA from 1 species